rnacentral:precursor_RNA from 10 species
UCUUCAAAGGAAUAGAGCGACCAGAUCGCUGGGUUGAUGGUUUCUGUAAAGUAAAUGCGUCUGAAAUGGAACUCUGCAGGUUCACAUCAGCCCUGCGACUGGUGUGCCGACACCUGGCGAGUACG